rnacentral:rRNA from 1 species
GAUGAACGCUGGCGGCGUGCCUAAUACAUGCAAGUCGAGCGAACAGAUAAGGAGCUUGCUCCUUUGAAGUUAGCGGCGGACGGGUGAGUAACACGUGGGUAACCUACCUAUAAGACUGGGAUAACUUCGGGAAACCGGAGCUAAUACCGGAUAACAUUUAGAACCGCAUGGUUCUAAAGUGAAAGAUGGUUUUGCUAUCACUUAUAGAUGGACCCGCGCCGUAUUAGCUAGUUGGUAAGGUAACGGCUUACCAAGGCGACGAUACGUAGCCGACCUGAGAGGGUGAUCGGCCACACUGGAACUGAGACACGGUCCAGACUCCUACGGGAGGCAGCAGUAGGGAAUCUUCCGCAAUGGGCGAAAGCCUGACGGAGCAACGCCGCGUGAGUGAUGAAGGGUUUCGGCUCGUAAAACUCUGUUAUUAGGGAAGAACAAAUGUGUAAGUAACUGUGCACAUCUUGACGGUACCUAAUCAGAAAGCCACGGCUAACUACGUGCCAGCAGCCGCGGUGAUACGUAGGUGGCAAGCGUUAUCCGGAAUUAUUGGGCGUAAGCGCGCGUAGGCGGUUUCUUAGUCUGAUGUGAAAGCCCACGGCUCAACCGUGGAGGGUCAUUGGAAACUGGGAAACUUGAGUGCAGAAGAGGAAAGUGGAAUUCCAUGUGUAGCGGUGAAAUGCGCAGAGAUAUGGAGGAACACCAGUGGCGAAGGCGACUUUCUGGUCUGUAACUGACGCUGAUGUGCGAAAGCGUGGGGAUCAAACAGGAUUAGAUACCCUGGUAGUCCACGCCGUAAACGAUGAGUGCUAAGUGUUAGGGGGUUUCCGCCCCUUAGUGCUGCAGCUAACGCAUUAAGCACUCCGCCUGGGGAGUACGACCGCAAGGUUGAAACUCAAAGGAAUUGACGGGGACCCGCACAAGCGGUGGAGCAUGUGGUUUAAUUCGAAGCAACGCGAAGAACCUUACCAAAUCUUGACAUCCUUUGAAAACUCUAGAGAUAGAGCCUUCCCCUUCGGGGGACAAAGUGACAGGUGGUGCAUGGUUGUCGUCAGCUCGUGUCGUGAGAUGUUGGGUUAAGUCCCGCAACGAGCGCAACCCUUAAGCUUAGUUGCCAUCAUUAAGUUGGGCACUCUAGGUUGACUGCCGGUGACAAACCGGAGGAAGGUGGGGAUGACGUCAAAUCAUCAUGCCCCUUAUGAUUUGGGCUACACACGUGCUACAAUGGACAAUACAAAGGGCAGCUAAACCGCGAGGUCAUGCAAAUCCCAUAAAGUUGUUCUCAGUUCGGAUUGUAGUCUGCAACUCGACUACAUGAAGCUGGAAUCGCUAGUAAUCGUAGAUCAGCAUGCUACGGUGAAUACGUUCCCGGGUCU